rnacentral:rRNA from 1 species
GAAGUUGGGUUAAGUCCCCGCAACGAGCGCAACCCUUAUUGUUAGUUGCCAUCAUUUAGUUGGGCACUCUAGCGAGACUGCCGGUGACAAACCGGAGGAAAGGUGGGGAUGACGUCAAAUCAUCAUGCCCCUUAUGACCUGGGCUACACACGUGCUACAAUGGGAAGUACAACGAGUCGCUAGACCGCGAGGUCAUGCAAAUCUCUUAAAGCUUCUCUCAGUUCGGAUUGCAGGCUGCAACUCGCCUGCAUGAAGCCGGAAUCGCUAGUAAUCGCGGAUCAGCACGCCGCGGUGAAUACGUUCCCGGGCCUUGUACACACCGCCCGUCACACCACGAGAGUUUGUAACACCCGAAGUCGGUGAGGUAACCUUUG